rnacentral:rRNA from 1 species
UACGUAGGGCGCAAGCGUUGUCCGGAAUUAUUGGGCGUAAAGAGCUCGUAGGUGGUUUGUUACGUCUGCUGUGAAACCUAGGCUUAACCCUGGGCCUGCAGUGGAUACGGGCAGACGUAGAGGUAGGUAGGGGAGAAUGGAAUUCCCGGUGUAGCGGUGAAAUGCGCAGAUAUCGGGAGGAACACCGGUGGCGAAGGCGGUCUCUGGGCCUUACCUGACACUGAGGAGCGAAGCGUGGGAGCGAACAGG